CGAAAAAACUGACUGACUCAGGGCAGGACUAACGUUAGGAGAAUAACGAUAGUUAACGAACGUUACCAUCAUGGAUGGGAGAAAGAAGCCUUCGGGCGCCCAAAACCGAAAAAGAAAAAUGAAAAGACAGGAUACAGAAAGAAAGAUGAGAACAUCACUGUCAAACUGGAUAACCAAACCAACAUCACAGCAGGAGCAGGGUGAUCAGAGCAGUUCAGAGUCCAGUCAGAGCUUAGCAAAUGGAGGCAGGAAUACUAACGUUAGCGAGGAACAGAGCAGAGAGGGUAAUGAUGCCAGCAUUAACAGUGACGGAGUGACAAGUAAUGCUAGUGGAGACUCGGACGAGGCUGGCAGGUAGGCUGUUACCAGGGACAUAAGGGCUCAGAUGAAAAAAAAAAA